rnacentral:piRNA from 1 species
UCUUAUCUAGUUUGGGUGGCCACAUGUGA